rfam:Nelumbo nucifera unplaced genomic scaffold scaffold00072, whole genome shotgun sequence
CAGAAGGUGCCAUUAGGCACCACGUAAGCCAAACAAUAAAAGGGUGU